UUCAUCUCGAGCCUGUGAUUUCUUUUAGGCAUUUCAAGAUGCAACAUCAACUUGCCCAAUCUCAGGAGGCACGUGAGUAGAAGUAUUUCUCUGACAAAGAUGCUAAUUGUCAUCUUUCUUGGAGGACGGGUGGGACACAGCACUCACUGCACAACCAGUACGGCCUCACAGCGAGAUAACUCCACUGCUAUUGUCCUACUCCGUAAUCACUUAAAUACCAACUGAGAGACGGGACAAUGUAAAGCAUCCCAAGCCUGAUGUUCAUACAUGCCUCUGUACCAGCACUUCUGUUGCCUUAUAUUUAAAACCAAAAUGGUUAAUGAAAACUCCACAUGUCAGCAUUGUGGCUCCAAAGUGAAUGUGAACAGCUGAGGCUGCCCUGGGGGAUCAGCUCUGUGCUAAAUCAAAGAAGACUGGUCCAUUCAGAUGUGUGUCCUGCUACUUGGUGAGACUAUUGAUUACAGCACAUAGAAGAAAACCUUAUGAAUAUCUUUAUUUCUUUCAUUGUUUCUUCUCACUGCAAGUGUCCUGAGGGCCCCCUAACCAACACAUCUUCAUUCAUCUUGCUUAUGUAAAUACCAUAUGAAUUCUACUGCUACAUGGAAAAAAAAUAAGUUUCAUCUAAACAGAAAUUGGCUCAUUCACAACAGAACAUUUGGAAAACUAGCAAUAGCCAAUAAACCUAGAAUUGUUUUUCCCAAAGCUAUGCUUCUCUAUGUUAAUCAAACUCUUCCAAUGGGUUCAGCUUAGGCAAUGAAUGCUGACUAAAUAAUUGAUGAUAUAUUUAAAAUGAAAUAUUAAAAACAUAGUGUAAGUUGGAAAAUUCAGUAAGCUUAUAUCUGCUCCUGGGUAUUUCAUGAAUAAUUGUAAUAAUCACUUAUUAAGAACUUAGUUUUUGAUUUUAAAAUGUAAUAAAAUUGUUAAGAU